rnacentral:rRNA from 1 species
CCCUUAGAUGUCCUGGGCUGCACGCGCGCUACACUGAUGUGUCCAGUAAGCACCUAACCUCUUCCGAAAGGAACGGGUAACCUUUGCAAAGCACAUCGUGAUGGGGAUAGAUUAUUGCAAUUAUUAGUCUUGAACGAGGAAUUCCUAGUAAGCACAAGUCAUCAGCUUGUGUUGAUUACGUCCCUGCCCGUUGUACACACCGCCCGUCGCUCCUACCGAUUGAAUGUUCCGGUGAGCUCUUCGGACUGCGCGGUCUGCAGUUUCUGCGUUCCGUGCGGAAAGUUGCGCAAACCUUAACAUUUAGAGGAAGGAGAAGUCGUAACA